CCACAGAGCUCAUAAUCAAUGCUGAGUCAUUCCUGGAGCACUGGGGGUCCCCAGGAUUCAUCUUCGGCUUUUGUUUCCACGAAAAGAAUAGAAGAGCUUUUUGGUGGCAUUUUGGAAGGCUCAGAUUUCUUUAAAACAUCUGUCUAGGGAAAUUUGAACUAAUUUCUCUUUUAUUUCCCUUUCGUAAAAAUUCCCAUUAGUAAGCAAAUGCAUUCAAAACCAUUCCCUUGAUCUUAUAACUGUAUUUUAUAAAAAUACCCUCAAGUUUUUCCUUUUGUCCUAUAGGCUGAAAGUGCUACAGUGGAAUGUCUGAAUGGCACACAGGAGCGAAGGCAGCUGGGACAUUAGGGCUGGUCAAGUUUGGCAAGGGGCCGCUAGGCUGCCCUUCGAGUGGUGCAGUAGACACAUGGGGCGGGGGUUUGGCUUCAUCCUUUUUGUUUCUGACCCUGUUUUCAAGGACAUAUUAUAAAAAGUUAAGACUUCUUGAAUUUAUUAAAAACUAUAAUGGAAAUUAAA